rnacentral:rRNA from 1 species
UGUUAGUGGAACGGUCUGGAAAGUCCGGCGAUACAGGGUGAUAGCCCCGUACACGAAAGCACACAUGCUGUGAACUCGAAGAGUAGGGCGGGACACGUGGUAUCCUGUCUGAAUAUGGGGGGACCAUCCUCCAAGGCUAAAUACUCCUGACUGACCGAUAGUGAACCAGUACCGUGAGGGAAAGGCGAAAAGAACCCCGGCGAGGGGAGUGAAAAAGAACCUGAAACCGUGUACGUACAAGCAGUGGGAGCCUCUUUAUGGGGUGACUGCGUACCUUUUGUAUAAUGGGUCAGCGACUUAUAUUCUGUAGCAAGGUUAACCGUAUAGGGGAGCCGAAGGGAAACCGAGUCUUAACUGGGCGUUAAGUUGCAGGGUAUAGACCCGAAACCCGGUGAUCUAGCCAUGGGCAGGUUGAAGGUUGGGUAACACUAACUGGAGGACCGAACCGACUAAUGUUGAAAAAUUAGCGGAUGACCUGUGGCUGGGGGUGAAAGGCCAAUCAAACCGGGAGAUAGCUGGUUCUCCCCGAAAGCU